AUGGACCGUGUGGAUAGCUCGAGCACGUCUCGUGUAAGAGGAAAGAAUAAAAGGAAUUGGUCUUCCGAUGAGGACGAUGAGCUUAUUAAAGAUUUGUAUGAGUUAUCUUUGGACCCGAGGUGGAAAGGUGAUGGUGACUUCAGGGGUGGAUACCUGGGGAUAUUGGAAAAGCAUCUUGCUGAAAAGUGUCCAAUCCAUGGUAUCACUGCAUCUCCGCACAUUGAAUCAAGAGUGAGGCACUUCAGGAAGAAAUUUGAUGUCGUUGAAGUAAUUCUAUCCAAAAGUGGUUUCACAUGGGAUGGAAGUUGA
rnacentral:rRNA from 1 species